AGCUGGCAGUGUAAGCCCCCAGGGUGCUGGUAAGCCCCAUGCAGAUCAGUCCAUGCAGCCCUGCUCGCAGAGUGCCAACAUGAUGUUUCUGUCCAGUUCUCCUGGUUAUUAACAGUUUGGUUUUAUAAAUGAGGAGUCCUUUGUAUUCUCCAGACGGUGACUUCCUGACGUACUUCUCCAGCUCAAGUUCCCCUUUGACUUCAGUGAGUAUUUUCUGUGCUCGGGGAGCAUUUUCCAUCACUUGGAGCCUGAAGGGGAAGAGGAUUUAUGGAAUGGGGAGCAUGGAGCACCAACUCAGCAAAUACCAAAGCAUGUGUGUAAGCUUUUAUACGCUGGAGAUGUAAGUACACAAGUGGUCUUGAUCUUAAGCCACUCUGUAUUGCUGGGUCCAAAGGCUGAACUGAAAACAUGCAACACAGUUUGCAUGCUGGCAUUUUGAGAUGUCUUCUCUAAGGAGCGGUUUCUCUCUGCUGUUAUUUUGCAUCUUCUUCCAAUCACUCUCAGUCUGUUUAACAGACUUACAGCCCCCCAGCACCCUCAGCACAUGCUGAAUGUCCCAUUGUCAGUGCAGUAGAUUAAUCAUUUUCUUAUGGUCUUAGUCUCUGUUCUCCUAAAUUUUGGCAAGGACAUUAUAAUAUCUGACCUAUUACUGUUUCUCUCUCCUUCUGACCUGCUGACGUCCCCCUGCUAUGGGUCAUUAUUAUGGAGGUCUUUGGUGGCCCUUCCAAUACUCUUAUGCUUUCUCUAGAGAUUAGCUUUCACUGCAGCCUUCAAAGUCAUCUCUCCGCACAUGGCAAGCUUCUUUCUAUGCAGAGUUUGGCUAAACCCAAUGAGAUUUGAAAUCUCGGAAACACAGACUUCAAAAGAAUUGGACAAAAUAGUCCUGGAACAGGCACCGGAGACCGCAUCCACCAGAUUCCUCUCAUUCCGAGGCAAGCCCAGUGAUACCUGUGUGAGUCUUUGUAAAUGUUUGUUUAACCUGUUUCUGGCACUGUUGAAAUGCUCCUCAGGAGCACACGCACGUGCUCGGGUUCUCCUGUUAACCCCCGUGAGCUGUGGCUUAGGGAAAAGCACCAAAUACUGCAAGAGAGCUGUUAACACUUCAUUAUUUGCAUAAGUGGUUUUUUAACCCCCUUCACCUUUCUUUUUUAAUAGCAACUUGGAAGCCGUUUAAAACUCCUUCCAUGAAAAGCUCUGUCA